GUGCCAGCAGCCGCGGUAAUACCGGCAGCACGAGUGAUGGCCGAUAUUAUUGGGCCUAAAGCGUCCGUAGCUGGCCGGACAAGUCCGUUGGGAAAUCCACGUGCCUAACACAUGGGCGUCCAGCGGAACCUGGCCGGCUUGGGGCCGGAAGACCCGAGGGGUACGUCCGGGGUAGGAGUGAAAUCCUGUAAUCCUGGACGGACCGCCGGUGGCGAAAGCGCCUCGGGAGGACGGACCCGACAGUGAGGGACGAAAGCCAGGGUCUCGAACCGGAUUAGAUACCCCUGUAGUCC
rnacentral:rRNA from 1 species